rnacentral:lncRNA from 1 species
UUUUUUUUUUUUUUUUAAGAGAGAUUGUGUCUCAUGAAUCAAGGAGCAGGAUUAACCCAGCCUCUAGAACUUAAGUUCAAAAUGAUGGGGGUGAGGCAUGGUCAUUGCUAAGGGAUCUAGCCAAUUAUGGAAUUAAUCAAAGUAAAACUAAAAAUGGAAGAUCAAUAGUAGAAAGGCUUGAGUUGAGCAUUCCAUUCCUGUAAAUGCCCAUUAUGAUUAUGAAAUUAUGGGAAUGAAUGCUACCCAGCAAACGGUAAAUGCUGUGAACCUUGAUGAUGGAGAACCUAACCAUGUAACUAAUAAAAAAUAGUGGGUCCUGGGGUAUAAAAGGGUAAAAGUGUGCUAAUUUCCUCAGUUUUUAUAGCAGGAAAUCAAUAGAUAAAGUCUAAAUAUCAAACAUGUAGAUAAAAUAAGCAGUGUCAUGUCAAUUUUUAAAGUUCUUCAUUGGUUCUUAUUAAUUUUGGAUCCUUUCAGGUUCUAAUAUUUCUUGUGAAAGAUUUACCUGAAUUUAAUUCCUUUGGGUUCAUUCAGCUUCUCUUGUUACCCUGAACUAAAAUUCAACUGGAUAGUUAACCUUAAAAUUGUUUAAGUGGCAUAAUACGUUCUAAAGUUAUCUCAAUUUUAUUUUCAUCAAUCCCUCUACCUAUCUGCUUAAGGCAACAUCUGGAAUAAUGCUCACCAAAUGUUAGUGAUGAUUACAUUUGAAUGUUUCUGAUCAUUUUCCUUGUCUUUUUUAAUUGUUUAAAUUUUAUGAUGCUUAUAACUUAUUUAGAGAAACAAUAAAGUUAUUACCAAAAAAAUGAGAGAAAAAUAGUGUGUGGUGACUAUGGCAGGAACUAUGCUGAUUACCUGCUGCAUGACACAAGUCAGUAGAGAUAUGGGGAAAGAGAACCAAGCUCCAUACGCCAAGAUUGCCCAGUACCACAUAUUAAUUGCAGCAAAUUGAGAGCAAAAAUGUUAUUCUGAGUGAGUUCCCAGUUGCAAAACCCUACUUCCUCCUCCAGAGAUAAGAUCUAUCUUCUUAGGAUCUCAGAAAGGCACAGCCAAGCCAAGGUCUGGCUUUCCUCCACAGUUCAUUACUGGAAAGGCAAAAACCACAGGAGACAGUGAACAGAAACAAUGUCAGACUUGUCAUUGACAGCCAACUACUCUCCAUUCUACUCAGACACACAUCAUUACAUUUUACAUUAAAAGGUAAGGUUACCAAAAUAGUGCCCAUGACUGAUGUACCAAAUUGCCACCCAGAAUUCUCCAACGAAGGCUGCAGUGUAACAUUCCCUGAUAUCCUUAGUUAUUUGAGUUAAAUGAAGUCUGACAUAUUCCCACAUGGAAAUAGUAAGGAGAAAUAUAUUUUUUUUCAGUCUAUUAAAUUUAAUUCAUUGGGUAUGUUUUUCUUCCUUAUCAGCAGUUCAAAUUAAUUUUUCUCAUUGUCAACGGGCUGACAGACUCCCACAUCCUUAACUCCAAGCACACAAUAUUUGCUAGGACUAUCCAUACCCACGGGUGUGGAAAACAACAUGUUCAUUCCAUUAGGUCUUAGCCAGGCUCUAACAAUUACACAAAAUAAUUUAUCCCUCGACGAUCAGGUACAGCUGUAUCUAACUCCUCCUGUCAAUUUCCAUUUCAGCAGCAGAAAUUAUGAUGUUCUCGGGAGAGAAAUGAUUGGUUUUCAGUUACACACUGCUACAGGUGGAAGUCAUCAGAAAACUGUAAUGCCAGCAUAUGGAUAACCUGCAAGGCAGCAUAACGAUAUCUGUACGUACCUUACAAGUGCUUAUUCAGGACUAUGGCAGUGUAAUCAAUUUCACAGGGGGGCAGAAAUAACAUGGAUCUCUCCAGUCAUUUAUUGCAUUGAGUACUGAAAUAAUGAUCACCGUCUAAAAUGGAAGGGCAGCAUUCAAUAGGAAAAUAAGGGGUAACUGCAAAGUGAGAUUUCUUAUCCUACUUAAGAAAUGAAUGACAGACAGAACUUGUAGAGGCGGCCUUCAUGGAAUGUUUCCCCUGCUCAUAUAUAACAUGUCAUGGAAGUACAUUUGCCAUUAAAAUGAGGAAAACCUCCCAGAAUCAGAAAUGCUGUUUUUGAAAAUUAGUACUCAUUCCAACAUCUCUCUGCCUCAUUUUUGCAUCUGCAAAAUAAGGAAGUUGAUACUUUUCCCUUCUUACCUUGAAAGGGUAUUCGGAGGGCAAAUGGAAGAAUAACGUAAAAGUGUUUAGUGCUUUCAGAAGAAAAGUUCUGUUAAUCCAGGCCAUUUCUAUUAUUAUGGCCACCAACUAUACCAUGGUUUCAAAUCCCAAAUCUAAAAGCUUUUCAGACAUCUAUUAUUCAAAUCUUAUUUUUUUAAAAAUCCUGCAUUAUUUAGCUCUUUAUUAGAAGUGGGUAAACUGAGAUCUCGAAAGAAUAAGAAACUUUGCAAGAUCACACCACGGCAGCUAAAGAGCAGCUAAAGAAACAGAAAUAUUGAUUCUGUGUACAACGUCCCACACAGAGGCAAAGUGAAACUCAGAACCAUUAAUAUCAGACAGAGCCUGAACCAGCAGCUUUCACAUUUAAAAAACAUUCAAUUAAAAACACUAGCCCAGUAAAAAUCUUAGAGAAACCCUUUGCAGAAAAAGUAUGCACAGACCAUUCUUCUAUCUUUUCCUUAGUUCUAUUUCUUGAUGUGACAUAUAUUUGUUAUCAAGAGUAAGCAGGAGAGAUGUACUUCUAUGUAUGCAUUCUCUCUUUGUGCUUAUGGCAGCGUUUUUUAAAGCCCCCCAAAUUUCUUCAUCAAAUAACUAGAGGUCUACCCACAUGAAGUUGUCUUCAUUUGCAAAGUA